CAAAUCAUCAGGUCCAAAAGGUGUAGAACCAAUGAUAUAUAUAUGUCUUAGUCCUACAGUGCAGGCAUAAUCUGGACGCUGUCACACCAGAGAACUAGGGCUUAGAUCAAUAGUUUCACGGGCAUGAGAUUGGUGGAGUAUUUGGAGCUGGAUGACAAAAAAAAAAAAAAAAGAAGCAGUUUAGAGGCAAUUAUUAAUGAGUACGUAGAUAUGAAAAAUUAAUUCAAGGUAUCAAAGAAGAUCUAAGGGAUUUUAAGAAGUAGCACUAAACAAGAAACAGCUUAAACUCUACAAAUGAUUGUUUUGAAAUGGCCAUGAAUUUCUUCUCUUUUGCCAAUGUGUGUGUGUGUGUGUUGUGUGUGUGUGUGUGUGUGUGUGUGUGUGUGUGAGAGAGAGAGAGAGAGAGAGAGAGAGAGAGAGAGAGAGAGAGAGAGAGUGAUGUAGAUGGAUCGAGCCACCAAAAGAACCAGCCCAGAUCUGGCCUAUUCUGAGCCAGCCUUGGGCCCGCUUUGCAACCAAGUUCUAGCCCUCUUGGGGCCAUCUAACCAGUUCCUAUGCAGAUCUUAUCAGCCUUAGUUGGUGAUGGAGGGCCGGCAAAAGGAAAGAAAUCCCUGAGAAAACCCAGAGUUGUAGAGGAGAGAGAGGAGUCGCACAAAGAAGAGGGGGGAACGAGAAUCGCACACACUCAGCCCAGGCACACACCACAAUAUCAACUGAAAACUUCAUUCUUCAAUCUAUCUUUCUCAAUCGGUUACAAGCAUAUAAAUAGGAAAAUAAAAGACUCCAACAUGGAAACAAAUCCUAAAAGGAAUCUAGUUCAAAAGGAAACUAGGAAACCAACUCUAUUAUAACCAAUGUAUCCUACUUUCUAAAAUAAAGUGAAGUGAAUCAAAUAAAAAUAAAAUAUAUUAUAUUCCUAAAUCCUACUAGAUUCCAAAAACAAUAUGGAUCUGGUUCAUCUUUGUCCAGAUACCAGAUGGGUAUAGAUCGCUCCACGGGUGCGUAUCUGCAUCAAUUCCCCUAGUGUUGAAAAAAAACCUGUCCACGAGUUUUGUAGAACGGGAGAAUCAACACUAAUCGAUUAGUAUCCAUCCUUGCAUAUGUGAAUCACCAUCAAAACCGUGAUCGAAUGCUAUAAAAUCCACGAUGUGAAGUUCAUUGGUGAAGUAGUGACUUGGAAAAAAAAAAUCGACCAGUUCACUGAAAAGAUCAACCAAUUUAAAUUUUUCCACAAGUUGAUCUUCAACGUCCAAAGGCACCAUCUCAUCUUUCAUCAUUGGUGACUCAUCUUCUAGCUCGUCUACCUGUUGCUAAAUGGCUAAGAUCACGUAGUUGAAGGUAGAGUGCAUACAAUCAGAUGUGGCUAAUACUAGUUCUUUGAUGUCCUUGCAGUGUCGUUAAAUCUCAUCAAGCUUCUCUUGUACCAGUUGCAUUUGUUGAUGAAUAUCCAAUAAAAGAUCUAGAUCCAUCGGCCAAGUUUGCUUCUUUUUUUUUUUUAAUCACUAUGAUUGGAUGCUCAAAGCAAGGAGUGAGUGGCAGAAUGGUAAAUAACUAGAAGUUCUUUAGUGAGUGGCAAUUCUGUAAAUACAGAAGUGCAACUUGAAACCAAUAAAGUAACAUAUAUAGGGGGAGGGCUAAACUUGGAAAGUAGAAAUGAAUAUGGGAUAAAAGAAAAUAAAGGAAAAGCUAGGGCAGAAUGGGAAGUUAAAAUAAUAAAGGGGCAAAAAGGGGGUCGAGGGGUGGGGUUGUACCAAGAAAGGAGUUUUAUCCUUCUUGGAGAUGAAACCAGCAGCGAUGGUUUCCCAACAGGUCUCUCCAGCGAUAGAAGAUCGAGGGAGCAGCGGGACUUCGGAGGAUGCGUGGCUUCGAUGGAAGCCGAGUGGAGAGGGCGACUUGCGAAUAGUUCAUCUCUAUCCAGAUUCCCAGAUGGGUGCGGAUCGAUCCACGAGUGCGUAUCUCCAUCAGCUGGAGCCUCCAGAAGCUUCCCUAUUUGGCACCAUCGAUCCAGCUGUCCAGCACUCCAAGUUUCUUUUCUUGUUUCCAUUCCUGGAUCCCUCCACAUAAGGCAUUCUCCUCCAUCGAGCAGCAGCUUCUCAUCCCAGAUUUGGACAGUUAUUUGGUUUCCUUUUUUGGUCCUUCAGGCCAGAUAAGCAGCAGCCCAUCUUCAUGUCGGCCUCCAGUUUGCCUUCAAAUGGAUCUUCCACAAGACCCAUACAGCUGUCCUUUAUUGUUGAAAAGCAGUUUCAAGAGGAGAGCUCCAGCAGCCAUCGAAUUGGCCAAGUUAGCCUAGGAUUUAGUUUCCUAUUUUGUUAGUCAAGUAGUUUCUAUUUUGUAACUUAGGCUAGUUUUCUUGGUCUUUCUUGGUUAGCAAGUUCGUUCAAGUAAGAAAGUUUAUUUCCAGCUUUAGUUUUCAUUUUUGAAUUCAGCUAUAUAAGCCUAUAAAGAUGCAUCCAUCGAUUAUAACCAUUAAACAAGUUUAAUUAAUGAAAUUGAGGGGUGAGAUGCAUAUUCCCUAAAUUCUUCUCCCCCUUCUCAACCCCUCCAUCAAUUCUCUUCCUUUUCUUUUAUUUUCUUCUUUAUUUGCUGCUGUGAAUGGAUGAAUUGAGAGUGUUCUGGUCGUACUGGAAAACCAGAAGCAUCAUAGAAGAUCAGAUUGAAGAAGCAUCCAUAAAGCCCAAAAUCUAUCCAAGCUGUCAGGGUUUUGGAGCCAAAUCGGUUUUGGCUGUAACCCCCCAACCAGCAAGCUUCUUCUGAAGCCCUUUUAGGGUUUUGUUGAGAACCCCAGGGCCCCCUUUUAACCACAGUUUGAAAGCCGUCAGAGGCCUGGACAGCAAGCCGCAAGCUCUCUCGCCUUGUUGGUUCGAAACCCUGUUUCAGAUAGGUUGCCUGCAACUGUGCUACCUUGUUACAGCUCCCUUGGAGGAUCUAUUUGGAAGAUAUGCAGGUCGAUCAUAGACCUUAUUUUGAUCAGGUGUGAGACUUCUAAAUCCUCCCCCCCCCCUCAUUCUGUGAGUUCUAUUACAGCACUAUUCUAGGCCUGGUGUUGCUCUAUUUGGUUCUUUGAUCUGUGAUCAUAUCUGUAUUUGGGUUGGGGUUGUAUUAUUGUCAUUGUUUGCCUUCGGGUGAACCAACCUUACAUUAAGUGGUAUCAUAGCUAUGGCUGGAUCAAACUCUAACCAAACCUCCAUGGAAGAUCUGUUGCAAGACAUCCAACACAUGUCUGCAAGGAUGGAUACUAUGGACCAGAAGUAUGAACAAAGAUUUGAGGAGAUCAAGGAGGCUAUGGCUGUUCAAUCAGCAGCUCAACCAACAGUGAAUGUUGUCCCCACUACUCGUCGACGAAGUCUACCUCAAGCUCAAAGGAAUGUACCAACCUGUACAAACAAUGAUGAAUAUGACGGAUGCCCACUACCUCGUGAUGACACGCACAAGGUAAAGUUGGGACUAAAGGAAUACAAUGGAAAGCACGAUCCCUCUUCUUCCAUGACUGGCUGAACAUGUUAGACGACUACUUCAGAUGGUUCCAAAUGUCAGAGGAGAGGAAGAUUCAACUUGCUAGCUCACUGGAGGUGCUAAGGGUUGGUGGAGAGCUUAGGAGAAUAAGCUUAUCGGGAGACGAAGAGAGCCUCAUACUUGGGAGGAGUUCAAGGUGAUACUGAGUGACAGAUACUUACCAACAACUUAUCGACAACAUCUCUAUGAUUUUCUCAACACUCUUCGAGAAUGUACUAUGACUGUAGAAGAGUACACUGAUAAGUUUAAUAUUAUGCUCUCAUGUACAGGUGCCUAUAAUAAGGGUGACGAUUUGCUAAUGUCUCGAUUCAAGUUGGGCCUAACAGUUCUUCCACUUUCCUUGUGAUUUGCACCGAGAUGCAGUUGAUAACUAUUCAUUCUUAA